AUUGAACGCUGGCGGCAGGCUUAACACAUGCAAGUCGAACGAGCGGCGGACGGGUGAGUAAUGUCUGGGAAACUGCCUGAUGGAGGGGGAUAACUACUGGAAACGGUAGCUAAUACCGCAUACCAUCAGAUGUGCCCAGAUGGGAUUAGCUAGUUGGUGGGGUAAUGGCGCACCUAGGCGACGAUCCCUAGCUGGUCUGAGAGGAUGACCAGCAACACUGGAACUGAGACACGGUCCAGACUCCUACGGGAGGCAGCAGUGGGGAAUAUUGCACAAUGGGCGCAAGCCUGAUGCAGCCAUGCCGCGUGUAUGAAGAAGGCCUUCGGGUGGUAAAGUACUUUCAGCGAGGAGGCGUUACUCGCAGAAGAAGCACCGGCUAACUCCGUGCCAGCAGCCGCGGUAAUUC
rnacentral:rRNA from 1 species